CUCGUGAUCGACGCUUUCAACAAAGUUUGUUCCUUAAAAAAUCAUUCGGAUUCAUCUUCAAACCCGAUCUUCGAGAUUAAUUCCUCGAGGCAAUGUACCCGCGUACCUACUGGAUACUCUCGAUCGGCUAAACAACGAAGCAAACGAUAACAGCGCAGGAUUGUAUUCGAUCGAAGCGAAGAAGGAAAAUUCAUGGGCCGCACGAAGGAAUCGAAUAUCGUUGCAUUUCGAAGGAAAAGCCACAUCUCCUCUACAAGAGAUCCGAACGAAGAGGAGUUGCAAAAGAAGGAUUGCAUCGAGGUUAAAAUUUGCGUGCUGCUUGGAAGUAGUUUUGAAGAUGACGUAAGGGGAUGAAACGAAGAAAUAAUGAUGGAAAGUUGGAGCGUUGAGAGACAGAGGAAGGUGCAGAGAAGAAGUAGAAAUAGGAGUAAAAGGAGAAGGAGGAGGGGGAGUUGGGAGAAGGAGGAAUUAAGGAUGUCUUGAAUAAUGACUCGGUACGGUGGGGUGGGUGUUGAGGUGAAUCGGGGGAUGGGGUUUACCAGUCGGGUGCGCCAUCUUGCCUCGGCUCUCUACUUAUAAUUAUUGAUGUGGCCCGAACUUUAUAUAAACUCGAAACUCGUCUCCCUCGCACCGUCGGUUCGCCACCAUCUCAACCCCCGGUAUCGGAGCUCCGGGGUGGCGGCAGAAAGAGAAGAGAGAGAAGGCAGCAGUGGCGGUGGCGGUGGCGGUGGCGGCGGCAGCCUGGAACCACCUCUACGAAAGAGCGAGUAGAAGCAACCCCCGGAGCCCCGGCCGUCCCCGUCCACCCCUCGCGGCUCUCCAACCAGGCGGCAGGAGGAAAUUGUUGGAGUUUUCAAAGUCUGACGUGCAGGAUAUUAUGAGCGAGGGUAUGGCGUCGUCGAGAAGGUGGAGGAGAGAAAGAGAAAGAGAGGAAGAGGGAAAGAGAAAGUAAGAGAGAGAAAGAGAGAGAAAGAGAGAGAGAGGGAGAAAGUGCUGGAGCAGCAGCAGUAGUGGUAGUAGUAACCGAGGGUGGUCGUGAGGCGGUUUGGGGGUGGUUGGAAGGGUGGCAGAGCGCCGGGGUACUACCCAGGCAAAACUACCCGCCUCGGUUCACUCUUCUACCUCCAGCCCACCCACCAACCCAUUCGUCUAGCUUAAACUAUAUUCCAACCUAACCUCCACGUAGGUACCUUCCCUCCUUCCACGACCCUACCUACUAUCUGACAACCGGGCAAUACUUGCUCGAAGGCGAAGUACUCCUUCCCCCUCUUCUAUCUCCACCUCCUCCUUUACCACCCCCUUCUUUUCCACCUCUUCCGCCUCUUUUAUCUCCUACAACGUUUAUACCAAGUCAAGUAUACAUAGACGAGCAUCUUCACUCGCGAAUACACUAUUUUCAUCUUCAUACAUUUUUCUCUCUUCGCAUCUCUAAUACUCGUCUUCGUCAUUGCUGUUCCUCUACUCUUGCAUAACUUGUCCAAAGAGUUACGCGAGAAUAAUUUCACCAAAGUUCACUUUAAGAUUCAAAACAAUUUCAGUAUAAUGCAAAGAUGCAUCUUAACUAUGAUAUAUUUUCUCAAAACUUUUACAUAUAUAACAUCUCAAUUUGUCCUAUUCUUCAAAAAAGUAUUUAAAUAUUUUGACUUUAUUUCUUCAUAUAACGUCUCAAUUUAUCCUGUUCCUUAAAAGAGUAUUUAAAUAUUUUGACGUUCGACUUUAUUUCUUUUUCCCUUGACAAUACGAAAGUUCGUUUAUCUUUAGGAAACUACGUUAAAUUGUUCGUUACUAUUCCAACAUCAUCGUGCUUCGCACGUAGAAUUAUAGUAAAAAGGUCUUUCUCUUUCUUUCUCUCUCUCUCUCUCUCUCUCUCUCUCUCUCUUCGUAGUUUUUGGCGUUCUUCUCAUCACAACGCGAGUCGACGUGUCUCACAAAACAUAGAAUAUAACCAGAACACUUGCGCGAGUAUAUUGUAAGGGAAGGCGGUGGGUGAGUGCAUAUAUAUCUAUGUAGUGUCUACAGGGGGCAGAAGUAUAAGCUUUCCUCUCGCAAAUGAGGUAAUAUAUAUACAAAAGCUAAUACGACCGAAAGUUGCCAACUUGGAUGAGUCUCUCCUCCGCCAGUAACCCCCACUAUGCAUCUCCUACUACACCUAUUCCUCCUGUGCUCCUCCACAACCGAGGACCACCUCCACUAAAUAUUUUAAAGGAACGUGAGAGAAUCCGUGCUGUGACUCGUUAACCACCAUAAAGAAAUUUCAAAACUUAAAUAUAGUUUACUUUUACAAUUUUUAAACUUUUUCCUUCGUUUAAUUCGCUGUCGAAUUGAGAAAUUAUAACUAAUGAUAAGAAUACGUGUACUCGUAUUCUACUCAAAUUUUUGAAAUAAUA
rnacentral:lncRNA from 1 species